GAUGGCCAAGCUACUAAGGGCAGACGGUGGAUGCCUAGGCGCCGAGAGGCGAUGAAGGACGUGGCCAGCUGCGAAAAGCCUCGGGGAGCUGCUGAGCGAGCGAUGAUCCGGGGAUUUCCGAAUGGGGGAACCUGGCCGGAGUAAUGUCCGGUCAUCCUGUAGCGUUGAGCUAUGGGAGGCGAACCCGGGGAAGUGAAACAUCUCAGUACCCGGAGGAGAAGAAAUCAAGAGAGAUUCCCUGAGUAGCGGCGAGCGAAAGGGGAGUAGCCCAAACCGGACUUCUACGGGGGUCCGGGGUUGUGGGACCCCUCGAGAGGGGUGGCGAAGGCUAGCGGAACGAUCUGGGAAGGUCGGCCGUAGAGGGUGAUAGCCCCGUACGCGAAAGCUGGAGUCACCUUGAGGGGUAUCCCGAGUACCACGGGGCACGUGGAACCCUGUGGGAAGCAGGGGGGCCCACCCUCCAAGGCUAAAUACUCCUCGGCGACCGAUAGUGGACGAGUACCGUGAGGGAAAGGUGAAAAGCACCCCGGGAGGGGAGUGAAAGAGGACCUGAAACCGUCUGCUUACAAGCGGUCGGAGUCCUGC
rnacentral:rRNA from 1 species